rnacentral:misc_RNA from 1 species
GAUGAAGAACGUAGCGAAAUGCGAUACGUAAUGUGAAUUGCAGAAUUCAGUGAAUCAUCGAGUCUUUGAACGCACAUUGCGCCCCCUGGUAUUCCGGGGGGCAUGCCUGUCCGAGCGUCAUUGCUGCCCUCAAGCACGGCUUGUGUGUUGGGCCUCCGUCCUCGUCCCGGGGGACGGGCCCGAAAGGCAGCGGCGGCACCGCGUCCGGUCCUCGAGCGUAUGGGGCUUCGUCACCCGCUCUUGUAGGCCCGGCCGGCGCUUGCCGACACAUCAAUCUUUUUUCCAGGUUGACCUCGGAUCAGGUAGGGAUACCCGCUGAACUUAAGCAUAUCAAUAAGCGGAGGA